CCUACGGGAGGCAGCAGUGGGGAAUAUUGCACAAUGGGGGAAACCCUGAUGCAGCGACGCCGCGUGAGUGAAGAAGUAUUUCGGUAUGUAAAGCUCUAUCAGCAGGAACGAGACAAGACGGUACCUGACUAAGAAGCCCCGGCUAACUACGUGCCAGCAGCCGCGGUAAUACGUAGGGGGCAAGCGUUAUCCGGAAUCACUGGGUGUACAGGGAGCGUAGACGGCUGUGCAAGCCUGAAGUGAAAGGCGGGGGCCCAACCCCUGGACUGCUUUGGGAACUGUACGGCUGGAGUGCAGGAGAGGUAAGUGGAAUUCCUAGUGUAGCGGUGAAAUGCGUAGAUAUUAGGAGGAACACCAGUGGCGAAGGCGGCUUACUGGACUGUAACUGACGUUGAGGCUCGAAAGCGUGGGGAGCAAACAGGAUUAGAUACCCGAGUAGUC
rnacentral:rRNA from 1 species